rnacentral:tRNA from 1 species
GGAGACGUGCCUGAAUCUAAGGGCCACUUUGAUAGAGUGAACCAUGGGGGUUAAAAUCCCCCCGCCUCCU